rnacentral:rRNA from 1 species
AUUGAACGCUGGCGGCACGCCUAACACAUGCAAGUCGAGCGGUAGCAGUGUAUUACGCAAGUGAUACAGCUGACGAGCGGCGGACGGGUGAGUAAAGCGUAGGGAUUUACCUGAUAGAGGGGGAUAACCUGUGGAAACGCGGGCUAAUACCGCAUGCACUCUAAGGAGUAAAGCUGGGUGAAAACCUGGCGCUAUGAGAUAGACCUACGUCAGAUUAGCUAGUUGGUGGGGUAAAGGCCUACCAAGGCGAUGAUCUGUAGCUGUUCUGAGAGGAAGGUCAGCCACACUGGGACUGAGACACGGCCCAGACUCCUACGGGAGGCAGCAGUGGGGAAUAUUGGACACUGGGGGGAACCCUGAUCCAGCGAUGCCGCGUGUGUGAAGAAGGCCUGCGGGUUGUAAAGCACUUUAGUCGGGGAGGAAAGGUAUAUUGUGAAGAGCGAUAUGCUGUGACGUUACCCGAAGAAUAAGCACCGGCUAACUCUGUGCCAGCAGCCGCGGUAAUACAGAGGGUGCGAGCGUUAAUCGGAAUUAUUGGGCGUAAAGGGCGCGUAGGCGGUAUUAAGGAGUUAGAUGUAAAAAGUUUGGGCUUAACCUGAGCGGGUCAUCUAAGACGUUGAUACUGGAGUAUAGAAGAGGUAAGCGGAAUUCACAGAGUAGCGGUGAAAUGCGUAGAUUUCGUGAAGAACAUCGAUGGCGAAGGCAGCUUACUGGUCAUAUACUGACGCUGAGGCGCGAAAGCGUGGGUAGCGAACAGGAUUAGAUACCCUGGUAGUCCACGCUGUAAACGAUGAGAACUGGAUGUAGGUACUGAGAGGUAUCUGUGUCGAAGCGAACGCGUUAAGUUUUCCGCCUGGGGAGUACGGUCGCAAGAUUAAAACUCAAAGGAAUUGACGG